AUUGAGCGCUGGCGGCAGGCUUAACACAUGCAAGUCGAGCGGGGUGAUGGUGCUUGCACUAUCACUUAGCGGCGGACGGGUGAGUAAUGCUUAGGAAUCUGCCUAUUAGUGGGGGACAACAUCUCGAAAGGGAUGCUAAUACCGCAUACGUCCUACGGGAGAAAGCAGGGGAUCACUUGUGACCUUGCGCUAAUAGAUGAGCCUAAGUCGGAUUAGCGAGUUGGUGGGGUAAAGGCCUACCAAGGCGACGAUCUGUAGCGGGUCUGAGAGGAUGCUGCGCCACACUGGGACUGAGACACGGCCCAGACUCCUACGGGAGGCAGCAGUGGGGAAUAUUGGACAAUGGGGGGAACCCUGAUCCAGCCAUGCCGCGUGUGUGAAGAAGGCCUUAUGGUUGUAAAGCACUUUAAGCGAGGAGGAGGCUCUUUUGGUUAAUACCCAAGAUGAGUGGACGUUACUCGCAGAAUAAGCACCGGCUAACUCUGUGCCAGCAGCCGCAGUAA
rnacentral:rRNA from 1 species